ensembl:lncRNA
CUUCCCUCCUUCCUGUACUGUUACGACUCCAUGAGCUCUUCCCUCCUUCCUGUACUGUUACGACUCCAUGAGCUCUUCCUCCUUCCAGAAACGGCUGUAGACCAACGAGGAAGACCCACAUGGAACUGGACUUUUUGGGGGUGAAUCUCCCGUUGACUUCAAAGCUUGACUUGUUAUGCUAAAGUCCAAGAGAGAAAUUAGUCCGGGAAGACUCCCCCAGUCAGUCAGGUAGGAGGAGUCUAUCCAUUACAUCAGUCAGGUAGGAGGAGUCUAUCCAUUACAUCAGUCAAGUAGGAGGAGUCUAUCCAUUACAUCAGUGCAGGAAGACUCCCCCCAGUCAGUCAGGUAGGAGGAGUCUAUCCAUUACAUCAGUCAGGUAGGAGGAGUCUAUCCAUUAAAUCAGUCAGGUAGGAGGAGUCUAUCCAUUACAUCAGUCAUGUAGGAGGAGUCUAUCCAUUACAUCAGUCCAGGAAGACUCCCCCAGUCAGUCAGGUGGGAGGAGUCUAUCCAUUACAUCAGUCAUGUAGGAGGAGUCUAUCCAUUACAUCAGUCCAGGUAGACUCCCCCAGUCAGUCAGGUAGGAGGAGUCUAUCCAUUACAUCAGUCCAGGAAGACUCCCCCAGUCAGUCAGGUAGGAGGAGUCUAUCCAUUACAUCAGUCCAGGAAGACUCCCCCAGUCAGUCAGGUAGGAGGAGGAGUCUAUCCAUUACAUCAGUCAAGGAAGACUCCCC